CUUGUAAAUAAUUUACCUCCUUUUCUUUGCAACUGCACCAGAUUCGGGUAAAUUGACUCUUAGUUACUCCAGCUAACCAACGUUGUUGAUGACUACUAGUUGGACACAUACGGAGCCUUCAUAACUCUUUCUUCAAUUUAUUUGGGACAUGCUUAUCCAGAACUCACUCCUUUAUUUCCCCUUGGGAUCCAGAACCUUGGUGCAGUCAGGAGCUGACUCAGAACAUCUUGGCGUCCCUUUGUGGCAGGUCUUUUGACCUAUUGAUGUGCCUUUCUGACCACUGUUAGUGGCGGACCACUUGUGAGUGCAUUAACCACC